CUUCGAGGUCCGCCAUUUUCCCUUUCCUCACUAAUUCGCUUCAGCAACGCCUUCCUUCAACCAACGUCUGAGUAGUCAAAGUUAAGUGUAAUGAAAAUCCAGUAAACUCAGGAGGUUGAUGUUUUGCGGGCACUCUGGAAAGUCUAGAAAUGUGCCCCUGUGAGCCGUGUUGGAGAAGGACGCAAAAUCUGAAUCAUCACAUGACUCUUCGAGAGGGCCACAAUGCUCCAGAUCGCUUUCUUUGCUCAGAGGUCCUUGAUGAGGAUCUAUGCCAUCACACCACUUUUAUUAAUCAUUAAUCAAAUACAACAAUAGGCCUUUAUAUACUCUCAGUAUUUCUAUGCAUGUAAUGUCUGUGGGUGAAUUAUGAAACAAUUAAUGUGUGCAGAUGUGUGAAAAAUUGUGAUGUAGAUUUGUUUUGGCCAUUGCUUGAUCUAUUUUAAAUGUAAGAAUAUGAUGCAGAUUAACUUUAGUCAGUAACUAUGGAAACAAAUAGAAAUGUAAUGUUUUCCCCAAUUUUUUUUCUUCUUCAAUAUCCAACUUUAUCCUCUGCAAAACUUUUACAGUACACUCUUAGAAUAAAAGGGGCUAUCUAGGACCUAAAAGGGUUAUUCGGCUGUCCUCAUAGGAGAACCCUUU